rnacentral:rRNA from 1 species
GAUGAACGCUGGCGGCGUGCCUAAUACAUGCAAGUCGAGCGAACAGACGAGGAGCUUGCUCCUCUGACGUUAGCGGCGGACGGGUGAGUAACACGUGGAUAACCUACCUAUAAGACUGGGAUAACUUCGGGAAACCGGAGCUAAUACCGGAUAAUAUAUUGAACCGCAUGGUUCAAUAGUGAAAGACGGUUUUGCUGUCACUUAUAGAUGGAUCCGCGCCGCAUUAGCUAGUUGGUAAGGUAACGGCUUACCAAGGCAACGAUGCGUAGCCGACCUGAGAGGGUGAUCGGCCACACUGGAACUGAGACACGGUCCAGACUCCUACGGGAGGCAGCAGUAGGGAAUCUGCCGCAAUGGGCGAAAGCCUGACGGAGCAACGCCGCGUGAGUGAUGAAGGUCUUCGGAUCGUAAAACUCUGUUAUUAGGGAAGAACAAAUGUGUAAGUAACUAUGCACGUCUUGACGGUACCUAAGCAGAAAGCCACGGCUAACUACGU